rnacentral:rRNA from 1 species
UACGGAGGGUGCAAGCGUUGUCCGGAUUUAUUGGGCUUAAAGGGUGCGUAGGCGGUUUAUUAAGUCAGUUGUGAAAUCCUGGAGCUCAACUUCAGGACUGCCAUUGAUACUGGUUGACUUGAGUACAGACGAGGUUGGCGGAAUUGAUGGUGUAGCGGUGAAAUGCAUAGAUACCAUCAAGAACACCGAUUGCGAAGGCAGCUAACUAGGCUGUAACUGACGCUGAGGCACGAAAGUGUGGGGAUCAAACAGG